UACAGAGGUCCCAAGCGUUGUUCGGAUUCACUGGGCGUAAAGGGUGCGUAGGCGGUGGGGUGAGUUUGAGGUGAAAUCUCCGGGCCCAACCCGGGAAGUGCACUCGAUACUGCGUAGCUUGAGUCUCGGAGAGGUUGGUGGAAUUCUCGGUGUAGAGGUGAAAUUCGUAGAUAUCGAGAGGAACACCGGUGGCGAAGGCGGCCAACUGGACGAAGACUGACGCUGAGACACGAAAGCGUGGGGAGCAAACAGG
rnacentral:rRNA from 1 species